rnacentral:rRNA from 1 species
AUACAGAGGGUGCAAGCGUUAAUCGGAAUUACUGGGCGUAAAGCGUCGCGUAGGUGGUUUGUUAAGUUGGAUGUGAAAUCCCCGGGCUCAACCUGGGAACUGCAUUCAAAACUGACUGACUAGAGUAUGGUAGAGGGUGGUGGAAUUUCCUGUGUAGCGGUGAAAUGCGUAGAUAUAGGAAGGAACACCAGUGGCGAAGGCGACCACCUGGACUGAUACUGACACUGAGGUGCGAAAGCGUGGGGAGC